rnacentral:rRNA from 1 species
GACGAACGCUGGCGGCGUGCCUAAUACAUGCAAGUCGAGCGCAGGAAACUGACGGAACUCUUCGGAGGGAAGGCAGUGGAAUGAGCGGCGGACGGGUGAGUAACACGUAAGGAACCUGCCUCAAGGAUCGGGAUGACUCCGAGAAACCGGAGCUAAUACCGGAUAGUUCAACGGACCGCAUGGUCCGCUGAUGAAAGGCGCUCCGGACUCACCUCGACAUGGCCUCGCGGUGCAUUAGCUAGUUGGUGGGGUAACGGCCCACCAAGGCGACGAUGCAUAGCCGACCUGAGAGGGUGAUCGGCCACACUGGGACUGAGACACGGCCCAGACUCCUACGGGAGGCAGCAGUAGGGAAUCUUCCACAAUGGACGAAAGUCUGAUGGAGCAACGCCGCGUGAGUGAUGAAGGUUUUCGGAUCGUAAAACUCUGUUGUAAGGGAAGAACACGUACGAGAGGGAAUGCUCGUACCUUGACGGUACCUUACGAGAAAGCCACGGCUAACUACGUGCCAGCCGCCGCCGUAAAAC